GACGAACGCUGGCGGCGUGCUUAACACAUGCAAGUCGAACGGAAAGGCCCUUCUUUUGUGGGGUGCUCGAGUGGCGAACGGGUGAGUAACACGUGAGUAACCUGCCCUUGACUUUGGGAUAACUUCAGGAAACUUGGGCUAAUACCGGAUAGGAGCUCCUGCUGCAUGGUGGGGGUUGGAAAGUUUCGGCGGUUGGGGAUGGACUCGCGGCUUAUCAGCUUGUUGGUGGGGUAGUGGCUUACCAAGGCUUUGACGGGUAGCCGGCCUGAGAGGGUGACCGGCCAAACUGGGACUGAGAUACGGCCCAGACUCCUACGGGAGGCAGCAGUGGGGAAUAUUGAACAAUGGGCGGAAGCCUGAUGCAGCAACGCCGCGUGCGGGAUGACGGCCUUCGGGUUGUAAACCGCUUUCGCCUGUGACGAAGAGUGAGUGACGGUAAUGGGUAAAGAAGCACCGGCUAACUACGUG
rnacentral:rRNA from 1 species